UACGAAGGGGGCUAGCGUUGUUCGGAAUCACUGGGCGUAAAGGGCGCGUAGGCGGCCGAUCAAGUCGGGGGUGAAAGCCUGUGGCUCAACCACAGAAUGGCCUUCGAUACUGGUUGGCUCGAGACCGGAAGAGGUGAGUGGAACUGCGAGUGUAGAGGUGAAAUUCGUAGAUAUUCGCAAGAACACCAGUGGCGAAGGCGGCUCACUGGUCCGGUUCUGACGCUGAGGCGCGAAAGCGUGGGGAGCAAACAGG
rnacentral:rRNA from 1 species